UUUCCCUUCGGGGACAGAAGUGACAGGUGGUGCAUGGUUGUCGUCAGCUCGUGUCGUGAGAUGUUGGGUUAAGUCCCGCAACGAGCGCAACCCUUGCCUUUAGUUGCCAGCAUUAAGUUGGGCACUCUAGAGGGACUGCCAGGGAUAACCUGGAGGAAGGUGGGGAUGACGUCAAAUCAUCAUGCCCCUUAUGCUUAGGGCUACACACGUGCUACAAUGGGUGGUACAGAGGGCAGCCAAGUCGUGAGGCGGAGCUAAUCCCUUAAAGCCAUUCUCAGUUCGGAUUGUAGGCUGAAACUCGCCUACAUGAAGCUGGAGUUACUAGUAAUCGCAGAUCAGAAUGCUGCGGUGAAUGCGUUCCCGGGUCUUGUACACACCGCCCGUCACACCACGGAAGUUGGGGGCGCCCGAAGCCACUUAGCUAACCCUUUUGGGAAGCGAGUGUCGAAGGUGAAAUCAAUAACUGGGGUGAAGUCGUAACAAGGUAGCCGUAUCGGAAGGUGCGGCUGGAUCACCUCCUUUCUAAGGA
rnacentral:rRNA from 1 species